rnacentral:rRNA from 1 species
GAUGAACGCUGGCGGCGUGCCUAACACAUGCAAGUCGAGCGAAGCGCUUAAAUUAGAUUUCUUCGGAAUGACGAUUUUUGUGACUGAGCGGCGGACGGGUGAGUAACGCGUGGGUAACCUGCCUCAUACAGGGGGAUAACAGUUAGAAAUGACUGCUAAUACCGCAUAAGACCCCAGCUUCGCAUGAAGCGGUGGUAAAAACUCCGGUGGUAUGAGAUGGACCCGCGUCUGAUUAGCUAGUUGGUAAGGUAACGGCUUACCAGGGCGACGAUCAGUAGCCGACCUGAGAGGGUGACCGGCCACAUUGGGACUGAGACACGGCCCAGACUCCUACGGGAGGCAGCAGUGGGGAAUAUUGCACAAUGGGGGAAACCCUGAUGCAGCGACGCCGCGUGAAGGAUGAAGUAUUUCGGUAUGUAAACUUCUAUCAGCAGGGAAGAAAGUGACGGUACCUGACUAAGAAGCCCCGGCUAACUACGUG